rnacentral:rRNA from 1 species
AUUGAACGCUGGCGGCAGGCCUAACACAUGCACGUCGAACGAGUGGCGGACGGGUGAUUAAUUUCUGGGAAACUGCCUGAUGGCGGGGGAUAACUACUGGAAACGGUAGCUAAUACCGCAUACCAUCGGAUGUGCCCAGAUGGGAUUAGCUAGUAGGUGGGGUAAAGGCUCACCUAGUCGACGAUCCCUAGCUGGUCUGAGAGGAUGACCAGACACACUGGAAAUGAGACACGGUCCAGACUCCUACGUGAGGCAGCAGUGGGGAAUAGUGCACAAUUGGCUCAAGCCUGAUGCAGCCAGGCCGCGUGUAUGAAGAAGGCCUUCGGGUUGUAAAGUACUUUCAGCGGGGAGGCGUUACCCGCAGAAGAAGCACCGGCUAACGCCGUGCCAGCAGCCGAGGUAAUAC